ensembl:lncRNA
ACGGCCACUCUGGGCAAAACUGAAGCUAGGAAUUUAUCAUCAACUUUCCUUUCCCAAGUAACACUUAGGUUCUGGAACACAAUACAUUACUAUAGACUAUUCUCGGAUCUUGGCUUCCCCAAUGGCUCAAUGGUAAAGAACCCACCUGCAAUGCCAGAGACACAGGAGACACGGCUUUGAUAGUCAAAGCUAUGGUUUUUCCAGUAGUCAUGUAUGGAUGUGAGAGUUGGACCAUAAAGAAGGCUGAGCACCUAAGAAUUGAUGCUUUUGAGUUGAGGGGCUUGAGAAGACUCUUGAGAGUCCCUUGGACUGCAAGGAGAUCAAACCAGUCAAUCCUAAAGGAAAUCAACUCUGAAUAAUCUUUGGAAGGACUGAUGCUGAAGCUCCAGUACUUUGACCACCUAAUGCAAAGAGCCAAUUCAUUGGAAAAGACCCUGAUGCUGGGAAGGAUUGAAGCAAAAGGAGAAGGGGCAGCAGAGAAUCAGAUGGUUAGAGAGCAUCACCAAUGCAAUGGACAUGAAUCUGAGCAAACUCUGGGAGACAGUGAAGGACAAGGACAUGACACUACAAAAACACGAUCUCCUUUGGAAUCACAGAAUUUUAAAGUUGAAAGGGACUUCAACUUUAAUCACACACUCUGUUGCUCUCAUUCUAAGGAGGAGAACCUGCUGCUGCUGUUACCAUCUUUAGAACUGAAAACUAGAGAGACAUAAGAGUUUUUCUUUGUGCUUUAUCAACAUGCGAACUUCAGGGCACCAGGCAUAGGAUGGAGGUAAAUAUUGAUUUGAUUUCGCAGUGAUGGGUCAGUUCUGCCUAUAGAUCGAAACAGAGAGGGAAGAGCAUAAUAACCAUCAGAAAUCUU